AUUGAACGCUGGCGGCAGGCCUAACACAUGCAAGUCGAACGGAGCGGCGGACGGGUGAGUAAUGCCUAGGAAUCUGCCUGGUAGCGGGGGAUAACGACCGGAAAGGGGCGCUUAUACCGCAUACUAUUGGUAGAGCCGAGGUCGGCUUAGCUAGUUGGUGGGGUAAAGGCCUACCAAGGCGACGAUCCGUAGCUGGUAUGAGAGGAAGACCAGCCACACCGGAACUGAGACAGGGUCCAGACUCUAACGGGAGGCAGCAGUGGGGAAGAUAGUAAAAUGGGCGCAAGCCUGAUGUUGACAUGCCGCGUGUGGGAAGGAGGCCUUCGGAUUGUAAAGUACUUUGAGUUGGGGGGCGUUACCAGCAGAAUAAGCAACGGCUAACUUCGUGCCAGCAGCCGCGGUAAUUC
rnacentral:rRNA from 1 species